rnacentral:siRNA from 1 species
UCAAUACGAGAUGGAUGAACUU